CAUUGAUGCAUUGGUGAAGUGCCUCAAAUCUGCAAGUGACAUAAUUUGCUUGACAAUCAGCAUUCCCCAUCAAUAAUGAAACCAAAGACAUAGCUUAAUAGACAACAAGGCUAGAGCAGCUGGCAGUGUUGCACAAAUCUGGCACUCUGGCUGCUGAGUUUAUUAGACGUUUUAUAGUCUUGGGAACUAAAGAUAAUGGAUCCCAUUCCCAUAUGCUGCAUCAACAAGAGCUGGGACUUCGUCGUGCCAUUGAUCUAUGAGGCAGCAGUGAAUACAACCCAGACACAAAUGCUAAAAUGAAUCAAUCCUAAGCUGUUAAAGAGACACCACGAAGCACUUUCCAGUUUUCAGUUCUUGCUUUCUAAUCUCCAUUCCAUGAAAUACUCUCCCAAGGGCUUUGAAAUACAACAGUUUGCUGCAGAGUUUGGGAUCAGGUUGAGAGGAAUUGCCCCUGUGGAUCAAAGAAUAGAGAUGAAAUUUAGAGCCCAUUACCCUUAGUAGGCACUUGUGAGCUCCACCCAUUCCUUAUGAAGCAAAAAGCUUUUGGGGAUUGCUUUAAUUUUUAAAAAGUGCUGUGUGAUUAUGUUCAUACAGGUUUACUGUAGGGUUCAUAAAGCUAUUCUCCUCGGAUAACUGGAAGACAAACUUUGAUUUGUUUCCAAGAACGGAAAAUUGUAUGUAUCUGCAGCCAAGAGAAUGAAGAAGAAAACUAAAGCAGAAUUUAGUCUGGACCUGACCGAUAGUGGCUGUAGUCUGUGCAGGGCUGACAGAGGACCAAGUGCACUGCUGACAUAGCUAUGCAGUAAGGGCUUUUUAGGUACAGAUGCAGAUGUUUUUGGGGAGUUUUCUUCAAGGCCACAUAUAUCAUCUGUCCUGUAAAUGAUUGCAGUUGCACUAGCUUCUGUCCUUGACUGUGCUUCUUUGUCAAGCACAGCAGCGAUAGCAAUCACUUCAGGUUUUGCAAACCUGCAGAUCACUAUUGCCAAUCUUUGUAUGAACAAGAGCUAAUUAAUCUUCACCACAUCUUUGUGAAGAAGGAUGAGAGCAUCAAAAAGGCACAGCUGAAGAAGCAGAAGAGCUUUCCUGGUUUUCUUUCCAUUCAUUUAGUUAUACAGGUACCAGGUUUGCAAGCAGAACAUCUUAUUGAAGUUUCAGACAGAUUUGUAUUGAUUUGAAGUCAGAACUUUGUCCAGCUAAGUGAACCUGCAAUAAACUAAUUUUAUGCCAAGUUAAGCCUGUACAGAAACAUCUUGCAGUGGUUAAAAUGAAUUGGCAUUUAAACAAAGUAAACAUAAUUUGAUAAAACUUCAGUGAGAAGAUGAGACUACUCAUAUUGUGGCCAUGCAAGAGCAUUUGAGAG